AACAUCGGGGGAGUCGCGAGGCUGAGAAAUUGACGCAUGUCAUGACCCUUUGAACCUGAUACGGAUAACGCCGUCGUAGGGAAGAUGGAGAAAUC
rnacentral:ncRNA from 1 species